UACGUAGGGGCCGAGCGUUGUCCGGAGUUAUUGGGCGUAAAGCGCGCGUAGGCGGCCUCGCGAGCCCGACGUGAAAGCCCCCGGCUUAACCGGGGAGGGUCGUUUGGGACGGCGGGGCUUGAGGGCGGGAGAGGGCGGUGGAAUUCCCGGUGUAGUGGUGAAAUGCGUAGAUAUCGGGAGGAACACCAGUGGCGAAGGCGACUUCCUGGCCUGUUCUUGACGCUGAGGCGCGAAAGCUAGGGUAGCAAACGGG
rnacentral:rRNA from 1 species